rnacentral:lncRNA from 1 species
GCACACUACAACCACUGGUAUGUAUUCCCAUCGAAAGUUUCUAGCCUCUCACCUAUGCUCGACAUUUUAUUUUUACAGAUUUAAGCAAAAAUCAACACCCAAAACAAAAACUGGUUUCAACAAAAUCAAAACAAGAUCUAAAGCUUUUGAUGUAGUACCUUAACAUAUACAUUCAUGUAAAUACCCAAACUCAAUCUUAUCUAGACUAAUUGGCUAAAGCCCAAAGUUAGCCAUCAUUACAAACCAAACUUAAAACUGAAACAGGAAAGAUUCAAACGUAGCGAAAGAAAUUAAGCUAAUUAUAGAGUCUAAUGAAUUUCAGAAACAUAUGAAGCAAACUUUAAUAAACUAGUAUGACAUAGAUUGCAGCUCAAUUCAAAUAACUUUGUGUUCUUCCAUUUCACAUAUCAAUGGGGAUAAGCAAUACCUGGUUACAACAGCAAAACCAACAGGAAAAAUUAGCUGGGGGUAAACAGAAGCAGCAGCAGUAGUAAGCUCAUGUAAAGAGGAAACAAUAGUAGAAUCAGCUUGAAAAUCAGCAACAGAACAGUGGUGAAACCUAGCAACUCAAACCACUUUUGAACCCCAAAUUCAAAGCAUUUUCUAACCAGGUGCAAGAGAUUGAAACGUUCUCAGAAUUUUAAACUAACAAAAGGAUGAGGGGACUGAAAUCGAGUGGAAUGUGAGCAAAUUUUAGCAAAGGAAAUGCAGAGUUUUCAGUGUCAUUUCAGAGUUCCACUCAGUACUCAGCCAUUUCAAUUUUUGGAUUUUUGGUCUCUCCCCUCUUUUUCUUGCUAAUGAAGAAAGGAUGCCUUUAUAGGCAAGUCUUUAAGGCAGCAUAAAGAAAUCAAUUUUUUGCACUUAAAACCUUUUGAAAUCUCAUUUUUUCUUUGAUACCUUUAGCUUAAGACUCAGAAUUUUAGAUAAGCCCCAAUCCUACCUUUCAGGAGGUUUCCCUAGUUAAUUAUAGAAGAUUCCCCCUGAUUAAAUUCCUAGACUAACCUUUAAAACUCUGUUAUUUACCCUUAAGACCAAACGGGGUCAAAUUGACCCAAGACUCAAUCCUAAACUUGGGCCAACGGACGGGCUUCAAAAUUUGGACCUUCAUUCAAUGGGCUUGUACUGAUAAACCCCAAAUCUAGUCCAAACAAACUAAACAAACAAAACAUUAGAGAAAAGAAAUGGCAAAUCCAAUCCGGGAUUGAAACGGUAUAUAUAAUUAUUCUUUUUUCUUUUCUUUUUUUUUUGAAUAAAACACUUUAAAGGAAAAAUGCAAAUUAACACUAAAUUACUGACUGACAAAUCUAAUUUAGUCUACAAAAUGAGAAGAAGUUUAUGACUAACAAUUAAACUUAAAGAAGAAAGGAACAAGAAAAUACCAGUAGAAUCCAAUUAAACUUCAAAAUCUUAAAGAACAAAGAUGACUCGAACUCGAACUCCGGUGAAUCCAAAAGCUCGACCAAACAGUGAGAAUUGCAACACAAAUAUUAGCCGACCUUACGUUCAUGGCUAAUGAUUCGUGCAGCAAUCGUCAACGUGUGCCAAAAGAAGUGAAACAAAGGCUCGAAAAGAUGGAAACGCUAAGGAACUAUUUUUCCGAAACUUGACCAAAUCUACAGGAAGGUCUUCUUGAUGUUCAAACAAAGCUAUUUUGUUGAAGAAGCUGGGUAAUUCACGAGGUUUUGCUACGGAUUGAAGUUUGAUCCUAAAUGUUUGGGAAAAGGAGGAAAAGUUUGGAUUUUUUAUUUUUUGAUCUGCAAUUCAGAGAAAUUGGGAGGUCUUUUGGGGAAAUCAAAGGUAGGACAAGAAUGAGGAGAUGGUGGGGAUUAGCUGGUUAAAAUUUGGAGGGAUUUGGAGGUGCUCCGCCGCUGAGAGGCGAUUUCCGGGCGGCGGAGAUACGGCGGAGUGAGCGGUGAUUUGAGAGAGAAGAAGGGGAUUAGGUUUUUGACUUAAUUAG